rnacentral:tRNA from 1 species
GCUGGGAUAGCUCAGUUUGUGGAGCAACGCACUCGUAACGCGUAGAUCUGAGGUUCGAUUUCUCUCCCCAGCACCA